UACAGAGGGUGCAAGCGUUGUUCGGAAUUAUUGGGCGUAAAGCGCGUGUAGGCGGCUUUGCAAGUCGGGUGUGAAAUCCCUCAGCUCAACUGAGGAAGUGCGCCCGAAACUGCAGAGCUUGAAUAUCGGAGAGGAUGGCGGAAUUCCCCAAGUAGAGGUGAAAUUCGUAGAUAUGGGGAGGAACACCGGUGGCGAAGGCGGCCAUCUGGACGACUAUUGACGCUGAGACGCGAAAGCAUGGGGAGCAAACAGG
rnacentral:rRNA from 1 species